AUUAACAUUUUCUUCUUCUAAAUAUCUUAAUAUCUCUAUCAUGCAUAUAACAUUAUCUUCAUUUUCGAAAUCUUUUUAUCUUGGUGUUUUUGUACUUGGUAUGGUUUACUUGUAUCU